rnacentral:rRNA from 1 species
AGAGAGAGACAUGCGCGCAUAUCAAUAAGCGGAGGAAAAGAAACUAACAAGGAUUCCCUUAGUAACGGCGAGUGAAGCGGGAAGAGCUCAAAUUUGAAAUCUUCAAGGUUUUACCUUGACGAAUUGUAGUUUAAAGAAGUGUUUUCUGCUGAAGUUUUGGUAAAAGUUCUUUGGAAUAGGACAUCAUAGAGGGUGAGAAUCCCGUAUUUGACCAUUAUUUUCAGCUUUGUGAUACACUUUCAAAGAGUCGGAUUGUUUGGGAAUGCAGUCCAAAAUGGGUGGUAAAUUUCAUCUAAAGCUAAAUAUUGGCGAGAGACCGAUAGCGAACAAGUACCGUGAGGGAAAGAUGAAAGGAACUUUGAAAAGAGAGUUAAACAGUACGUGAAAUUGUCAAAAGGGAAGCGUUUGACACCAGUGUUGUUUUCUCGAAAAUCAAUUAAAAAUGGCUCGAUUUUGUAUUGCUUGAGACCUUAAAAGCUCACUGUACAUUUUUCGUGUCUUUUUUAAUGCACUUUUCGUUUAACAAGUCAACAUCAGUUUCUUUUGUUGUAAAAGGGUCAUUGGAAGGUGGCUUUCUUUUCGGAGAAAGUGUUUAUAGCCUUUGGCCUCUGCAAUCGGAGAGACUGAGGUCUGCAGCGUAGACUCUUCGGGGUUAGAUACAUUUGUGCUAAGUUAUAGCUUUUUAUAGACAACUUGUUGACUAUAAUUAGUCUUGUAGCUUACUCGCUUAUGCUAUUUUACCUACGCUUAGGAUGUUGAAGAUGUAGCACAUCAU